GCAAAUCAUUCAAGACGGCGACGGAACGUGUUCCUUCCUCAUGUGCGCGUUGAAGGCGUGGUGCUAUCAUUAUCCAUUCCGCUUCAAGCCAGACCAUAUCUGGU
rnacentral:ribozyme from 1 species